GAUUCCGAAAGGCGCCAAGGAACAGGAUUGAGGACCUGACAGCUGAACAUAUGGAUAGAAGAAGCACAUUUGGGACUAAAACAGCGGGCCUCUGACAGUUCAUCUUGCCUUGGAGGAAAGGGACUAGACAAGUCAUAAUCACCACAGUGAUCCAACACCCAGCACCAAGCUUGGCAUACUGUUGGUGCUCAAUAAUUGCAUGGCCUAUGAAUGGAUCAUUUACCCCCUUCAGGGGGUGUGUCAACUCCAGGAAUACUGGCCCCAGCUCUGUCUGUACAGGGUCUACGGUUCCCAAAAGCUCAAGAGCUCCUGGCUGUGGGGUGAACUUGGGAUCUAAGUGAACUCACAGAGAGUCAGAAAGCUUUGUGAGGUCUCAGCUCAGUUCAAUUCAGUCGCUCAGUUGUAUCCGACUCUUUUCGACCCCAGAACUGCAGCUGAGACUGUGAGGUCUCAGUCCAGCUCAAACUCAGGCCCAAAUCCUAUUUAACAGAUGAGUAAAUUGAGUCUCAGGCAGCCAAAGGCAACCAGCAAGUCAGAAGCACAGAGCGGGUUCCACGCGCAACUCUCAGAACCUGAAACGGAGCUAACAGCCAUGGCCGCGAGAGAAAAAUAGGUCUGAUUCAUUCUCUCCGGGCAUAGGAUGCCCGCUCGCAAAACCCAGCACUAGGGAGCAGACCUAGAAACUCAGAUACGACCAAGACGAAGAGACUGUGCGGGCGGCCACGCAAACCCGAGAAUAAAAC
ensembl:lncRNA